CGGGGAGUAGCGCAGCUUGGUAGCGCAUCUGCUUUGGGAGCAGAGGGUCGCUGGUUCGAAUCCAGUCUCCCCGACCA
rnacentral:tRNA from 1 species